AGAGUUUGAUCAUGGCUCAGAACGAACGCUGGCGGCAGGCCUCAAACAUGCAAGUCUAGGGGGUGUAGCAAUACAUCACCGGCGGACGGGUGCGUAACGCGUGGGAAUAUACCUAUUGGUUCGGAACAACUGCGGGAAACUGCAGCUAAUACCGAAUGUGCCCGAAAGGGGAAAGAUUUAUCGCCAAUGGAUUAGCCCGCGUAGGAUUAGCUAGUUGGUGGGGUAAUGGCCCACCAAGGCUCCGAUCCUUAGCUGUUCUGAGAGGAAGAUCAGCCACACUGGGACUGAGACACGGCCCAGACUCCUACGGGAGGCAGCAGUUGGGAAUCUUGGACAAUGGGGGAAACCCUGAUCCAGCCAUGCCGCGUGAGUGAUGAAGGCCUUCGGGUUGUAAAACUCUUUCGACGGGGACGAUAAUGACGGUACCCGUAGAAGAAGCUCCGGCUAACUUCGUGCCAGCAGCCGCGGUAAUACGAAGGGGGCUAGCGUUGUUCGGAAUUACUGGGCGUAAAGCGCGCGCAGGCGGUUUUCCAAGUCAGUGGUGAAAGCCCGGAGCUCAACUCCGGAACUGCCAUUGAAACUGUUAAACUUGAGGACGAGAGAGGUGAGUGGAAUUCCCAGUGUAGAGGUGAAAUUCGUAGAUAUUGGGAAGAACACCAGUGGCGAAGGCGGCUCACUGGCUCGUAUCUGACGCUCAGGCGCGAUAGCGUGGGGAUCAAACAGGAUUAGAUACCCUAGUAGUCC
rnacentral:rRNA from 1 species